rnacentral:rRNA from 1 species
UAGGGAAUCUUCCGCAAUGGACGCAAGUCUGACGGAGCAACGCCGCGUGAGUGAAGAAGGAUUUCGGUUCGUAAAACUCUGUUGUUAGAGAAGAACAGCGCAUAGAGUAACUGUUAUGCGUGUGACGGUAUCUAACCAGAAAGCCACGGCUAACUACGUGCCAGCAGCCGCGGUAAUACGUAGGUGGCAAGCGUUGUCCGGAUUUAUUGGGCGUAAAGCGAGCGCAGGCGGUCAAUUAAGUCUGAUGUGAAAGCCCCCGGCUCAACCGGGGAAAGUCAUUGGAAACUGGUUGACUUGAGUGCAGAAGAGGAGGGUGGAAUUCCAUGUGUAGCGGUGAAAUGCGUAGAUAUAUGGAGGAACACCAGUGGCGAAGGCGACUCUCUAGUCUGUAACUGACGCUGAGGCUCGAAAGCGUGGGUAGCAAACAGG